rnacentral:rRNA from 1 species
UGGGGAAUUUUGGACAAUGGGCGAAAGCCUGAUCCAGCAAUGCCGUGUGUGAUGAAGCAGCUUCGGGUUGUAAAGCACUUUUGUCCGGAAAGAAAUCCUUGGCUCUAAUACAGUCGGGGGGAUACGGUACCGGAAGAAUAAGCACCGGGCUAACUACGUGCCAGCAGCCGCGGUAAUACNUAGGGUGCAAGCGUUAAUCGGAAUUACUGGGCGUAAAGCGUGCGCAGGCGGUUUGCUAAGACCGAUGUGAAAUCCCCGGGCUCAACCUGGGAACUGCAUUGGUGACUGGCAGGCUAGAGUAUGGCAGAGGGGGGUAGAAUUCCACGUGUAGCAGUGAAAUGCGUAGAGAUGUGGAGGAAUACCGAUGGCGAAGGCAGCCCCCUGGGCCAAUACUGACGCUCAUGCACGAAAGCGUGGGGGAGCAAACAGGAUUAGAUACCCUGGUAGUCCACGCCCU